rnacentral:rRNA from 1 species
UACGAAGGGGGCUAGCGUUGCUCGGAAUCACUGGGCGUAAAGCGCACGUAGGCGGAUCGCUAAGUCAGGGGUGAAAUCCUGGGAGCUCAACUCCAGAACUGCCCCUUGAUACUGGCGAUCUCGAGUCCGGGGAGAGGUGAGUGGAACUGCGAGUGUAGAGGUGAAAUUCGUAGAUAUUCGCAAGAACACCAGUGGCGAAGGCGGCUC